AUUGAACGCUGGCGGCAUGCCUAACACAUGCAAGUCGAACGGGUGUAGCAAUACAUCAGUGGCGCACGGGAUAGUAACGCGUGGGAAUCUGCCUCGUAGUUCGGAAUAACACCGGGAAACUGGUGCCAAUACCGAAUACGCCCUUCGGGGGAAAGUUUUUCGCUAUGAGAGGAGCCCGCGUUGGAUUAGCUAGUUGGUGAGGUAACGGCUCACCAAGGCGACGAUCCAUAGCUGGUCUGAGAGGACGAUCAGCAUCACUGGGACUGAGACACGGCCCAGACUCCUACGGGAGGCAGCAGUGGGGAAUAUUGGACAAUGGGGGAAACCCUGAUCCAGCAAUGCCGCGUGAGUGAUGAAGGUCUUCGGAUUGUAAAGCUCUUUUGGCAGGGACGAUGAUGACGGUACCUGCAGAAUAAGCCCCGGCUAACUUCGUGCCAGCCGCCGCCGUAA
rnacentral:rRNA from 1 species